AGCUGGUUCCCAGGGAGGGUGGGGAUGAUUCACCACCUGCUUAAGAAAGCCCAGCCUCAUUUCCUCCCCAGCUCAAGGGGAUCUAAACUUCCACUCUGGCAGCCAGUCUUGAAGUAGGAGGGGCCUGUGUGUCUCUGGCCUAGAAGAGGAAGUACAAGCGCAGAGUAGACAAGCCUAGACAAAGACCAUCUUGAACUAUGCUCUACUCUCUCCUUGCCUUUCUCCUGGGCAUGUUCAUGGAUGUUAGUGCUCAGACUAUCCAUCAACGGCCAGCUGCCAAGGUUCAGGUGGUGGGCAAUCCACUCUCUCUGGAGUGUACCAUAGAAGGGAAAUCAAACCCCAACCUCUACUGGUACUGGCAAGCCACAGGAGGGACCCUCCAGCAACUCUUCUACUCUAUUAAUGCUGGCCAGAUGAUCCUAUAGACUCCUGAAGCACCUCCCUUCCUCAAGCCGACAAAGUCCAAUAUUGAGUUCUGUAGUGGGAAGAUCUCCAUGAACAUUGGUGCUAAUAGGAAAAUUCCUCUGGACAAAUGGAAUCAACUCCAGUGCUAUCCACACAAGAAUCCUUUUGCCUUCCUUAACAUAAAUGAUCAUUAUUGCAUGA